rnacentral:rRNA from 1 species
UACGAAGGGUGCAAGCGUUACUCGGAAUUACUGGGCGUAAAGCGUGCGUAGGUGGUUUGUUAAGUCUGUUGUGAAAGCCCCGGGCUCAACCUGGGAAUGGCAAUGGAUACUGGCAAGCUAGAGUGCGGUAGAGGGUAGUGGAAUUCCCGGUGUAGCGGUGAAAUGCGUAGAGAUCGGGAGGAACACCAGUGGCGAAGGCGACUACCUGGACCAGCACUGACACUGAGGCACGAAAGCGUGGGGAGCAAACAGG